ACCCGACAGUUCCUCUAGUGUCAAGCAAUGACAAGAUGCUUUCUUGCUUCUCGCAGAGCUUUGCGAGACCAAAGUCAGCAACCUUGGGUCUGAGAUUUCCAUCUAACAGUACAUUCUGAGGUUUGAUAUCAAAAUGCACGAUUCUUGUUUUACAACUGUAGUGCAAGUACUCAAUUCCCUUAGCAACCCCUAGCGCUAUUCCAUAUAACGUACUCACAUCGAGAUUCGAUGACUGAUCCAAAGAUCCAUUCUCUAGAAACUCAUAUAUAAUCGCUCUUUUGGAACCUUCAUAGCAGAAACCAAGCAUAGAAACGAUGUUAACAUGAGAAGUUUGGCUCAUGCUUGCAACUUCGUUGAUGAAAUCUUCACAAUCGCUCUUUGAAUCAUUCAAGACUUUUACUGCAACUUUGCUACCAUCACUCAACUUCCCCUUGUAUACAGUUCCAAAUCCUCCUCUCCCAACUACUUCUGUGAAUGAUUUUGUGAUCCUCUUGAUUUGUCCAUAAGUUUGCAUCAGCAUUUUCGACUCUUUUGUUCCUUGCUCCCACCAUCUCAAGAACCAACAUUCCAUAGCUAUACACAUCAGACUUGUGAGACACGCUUCCAUACAUUCUUGAAAACAACUCUGGAGCAAUGUACCCGACAGUUCCUCUAGUGUCAAGCAAUGACAAGAUGCUUUCUUGCUUCUCGCAGAGCUUUGCGAGACCAAAGUCAGCAACCUUGGGUCUGAGAUUUCCAUCUAACAGUACAUUCUGAGGUUUGAUAUCAAAAUGCACGAUUCUUGUUUUACAACUGUAGUGCAAGUACUCAAUUCCCUUAGCAACCCCUAGCGCUAUUCCAUAUAACGUACUCACAUCGAGAUUCGAUGACUGAUCCAAAGAUCCAUUCUCUAGAAACUCAUAUAUAAUCGCUCUUUU
rnacentral:lncRNA from 1 species